rnacentral:misc_RNA from 1 species
UUGCUUUCUUACUUGAUUCAUCAGCUUAAGCAAGUUCUAUUGUGCAGUUUAUUGUAUUCAAAGUUUAGUGUCAUCAUUAUUUUAAUUCUAUUUUAUUGAUUAAAAAUUAUAAGUUUGCUGAUUUAUUUCAUUGAUGACAUGGCAUGAAUUUAGAUCAGAAUUAUGAAUUAUCUAUUUCUGGUCCAGAUGCACUGUUAUUCACUAUCUUUUCUUCUUCCAUCAAUGCUACAGACCCACUUAACAUAACAGCAUCGGAUGUUCUGUUCAUGAAGAUCAGAAUGAUGAAUAGAUUUUUAGUGCUCUGAUAAUUCCUUGAGAAAAAAAGCGAUCCAAUUUAGUUGUUCAUAUGCUAUUCCUUUGGUGUGGCUUACGUAUUUCUAUCUGGAGAUCUGAUGUAUUGCCAUUUAUUCUUUUUUCAAGAAAAGUUGCAUCUCACUUCAGCAGACAUAACUGCUAGUUGGUACAUUGGUGAUUAAAACAUGACCUUUGAACUUCAAAGUUUUAUUCCCCCUUUAGAUGUUGAAGUAUAUGUAUGGAACUUGGUAUGUCUUAUUUCUUAUGAAUUCCGGAUCAAUCUUCAUUGCAACUUUACAUCACAUGCGGGAAUGAAACCAGUGAAGUCAUCAAAUAUUUGGAAUUUUGUGUUCAUAGAUUGCAUAAUCAGGAUCCUGGAAUUCACAAUUUUCUUCUCUCUCUGUAUGCUAAGCAGGUCAGAUUGUUCACGGAACUUCUGUUGAACAUGACUGAUUUUAAGUGAAAAACAUGAAUCGAUCCUUUUAUUUUGUUGUCUCAUAUUAUAGAUGACGUUGCAUCUUGCAUGUAUGGAUUGUUUAGAUGUGAUUUUUCCUUUUUGUUUACAAUCAGGAAGAUGAUGGUGUGCUUUUGCGUUUCGUUCAAUGCAAGUUUGGAAAAGGAAGAGAAAAUGGAUCCGUUUUCUUCCAUGAUCCCAAGUAUGCUUUGUGUCUUUGCCUCAAAUAAAAGCGAAUGCGUGCCUGUGUUUAUAUAUACAGCAUGAUGUCCAUGCAUGAAUAAGCAGUUGCUCUUGCACUGCAGGUUGGCA